AUUGAACGCUGGCGGCGUGCCUAACACAUGCAAGUCGAGCGGCAGCGCGGGAGCAAUCCUGGCGGCGAGCGGCGGACGGGUGAGUAACGCUUGGGGAUCUGCCUGUUAGUGGGGGACAACCCGGGGAAACUCGGGCUAAUACCGCAUACGCACUACGGUGGAAAGCCGGGGACCGCAAGGCCUGGCGCUAACAGAUGAGCCCAAGUCGGAUUAGCUAGUUGGUAGGUAACGGCCACCAAGGCGACGAUCCGUAACUGGUCUGAGAGGACGACCAGUCACACCGGAACUGAGACACGGUCCGGACUCCUACGGGAGGCAGCAGUGGGGAAUAUUGGACAAUGGGGAAACCCUGAUCCAGCGACGCCGCGUGGGUGAAGAAGGCCUUAGGGUU
rnacentral:rRNA from 1 species